UUAGAGUUUGAUCAUGGCUCAGAGUGAACGCUGGCGGCGUGCUUAACACAUGCAAGUUGAACGAGAAAGGUUAGUGCUUGCACCGACCAAUCUAGUGGCAAACGGGUGAGUAAUACAUGGGAAUCUGCCUCGUAGUAUGGAAUAGGCAUCUGGCAACAGAAGCUAAUACCGUAUAUUGCCGAGAGGUGAAAGAUUAUCGCUACGAGAUGAGCCCAUGUAAGAUUAGCUAGUUGGUGAGGUAAUGGCUCACCAAGGCUACGAUCUUUAGCUGGUCUGAGAGGAUGAUCAGCCACACUGGAACUGAGACACGGUCCAGACUCCUACGGGAGGCAGCAGUGGGGAAUAUUGGACAAUGGGCGAAAGCCUGAUCCAGCGACGCCGCGUGAGUGAAGAAGGCCCUAGGGUUGUAAAGCUCUUUCAGUAGGGAAGGUAAUGACGGUACCUACAAAAGAAGCUCCGGCUAACUUCGUGCCAGCAGCCGCGGUAAUACGAAGGGAGCUAGCGUUACUCGGAAUUAUUGGGCGUAAAGCGUACGUAGGCGGUUUAGUAAGUUGGAAGUGAAAGCCUUGGGCUCAACCCAAGAAGUGCUUUCAAAACUACUAGGCUUGAGUAUUAGAGGGGGUGGCGGAAUUCCUAGUGUAGAGGUGAAAUUCGUUGAUAUUAGGAGGAACACCGGUGGCGAAAGCGGCCACCUGGCUAAUUACUGACGCUGUUGUACGAAAGCGUGGGGAUCAAACAGGAUUAGAUACCCUGGUAGUCCACGCAGUAAACGAUGAGUGCUAGAUGUUGGGGUUUUUUCCUCAGUGUCGCAGCUAACGCGUUAAGCACUCCGCCUGGGGAGUACGGUCGCAAGAUUAAAACUCAAAGGAAUUGACGGGGACCCGCACAAGCGGUGGAACAUGUGGUUUAAUUCGAUGCUACGCGAAAAACCUUACCAGAUCUUGACAUGAUAGUCGUACGGCUAGGAAACUAGCUGGUCAGUUCGGCUGGACUAUCACAGGUGUUGCAUGGCUGUCGCCAGCUCGUGUCGUGAGAUGUUGGGUUAAGUCCCGCAACGAGCGCAACCCUUAUCCUUAGUUGCCAACAGGUUAAGCUGGGAACUUUAAGGAAACUGCCAGUGAUAAACUGGAGGAAGGUGAGGACGACGUCAAGUCAGCAUGGCCCUUAUGAUCUGGGCUACACACGUGUUACAAUGGUGGCUACAAUGAGACGCAAUAGGGCGACCUGGAGCAAAUCUAUAAAGGCCAUCUCAGUUCGGAUUGUACCCUGCAACUCGGGUGCAUGAAGUUGGAAUCGCUAGUAAUCGCAGAUCAGCACGCUGCGGUGAAUACGUUCCCGGGUCUUGUACACACUGCCCGUCACGCCAUGGGAGUUGAUUUUACCCGAAGUAGGUGAGCUAACCGCAAGGAGGCAGCUUACCACGGUAGAAUUGAUGACUGGGGUGAAGUCGUAACA
rnacentral:rRNA from 1 species